rnacentral:tRNA from 1 species
GGGACUGUGGCUCAGUGGUAGAGUAUUUGCUUGACCUGCAGAAAGGUCCCAGGUUCAAUCCAGGACACCUCCA